ensembl:lncRNA
GAAAUACUUAACUCUUAAGUUGCCACUACAUUUGUGUAGCUAAGCAAGAGGAUGAAGGAUUUCUUCCUGAAGGACAGGUGGCUGCUGCUCCAAGCAAGAACUUCGUCCAGGAUCUGAAAAGUAAUGUUGUUGACUUCCAGGUGAACCUGAGACAGGUUGCUCUCCAAAAAGAAACAUGAGCAGCUGGAAAAUGACAGGCUUUUCACCUGCUACAGUUACUUAGGCUAUUCAAACUCAUAGAAACACACCGGGAGAGCUAUGGAAGCAUCUCACUAAAUAUUCUUACAAA